ACUCCUACGGGAGGCAGCAGUGGGGAAUAUUGGACAAUGGGCGCAAGCCUGAUCCAGCCAUGCCGCGUGAGUGAUGAAGGCCUUAGGGUUGUAAAGCUCUUUUAUCCGGGACGAUAAUGACGGUACCGGAAGAAUAAGCCCCGGCUAACUUCGUGCCAGCAGCCGCGGUAAUACGAAGGGGGCUAGCGUUGCUCGGAAUCACUGGGCGUAAAGGGCGCGUAGGCGGACAUUUAAGUCGGGGGUGAAAGCCCGGGGCUCAACCCCGGAAUUGCCUCCGAUACUGGAUGUCUCGAGACCGGAAGAGGUAAGUGGAACUGCGAGUGUAGAGGUGAAAUUCGUAGAUAUUCGCAAGAACACCAGUGGCGAAGGCGGCUUACUGGUCCGGAUCUGACGCUGAGGCGCGAAAGCGUGGGGAGCAAACAGGAUUAGAAACCCCAGUAGUCC
rnacentral:rRNA from 1 species